AACGAACGCUGGCGGCAUGCCUAACACAUGCAAGUCGAACGAGAUCUUCGGGUCUAGUGGCGCACGGGUGCGUAACGCGUGGGAAUCUGCCCUUUGGUUCGGAAUAACAGUUGGAAACGACUGCUAGUACCGGAUGAUGACGAAAGUCCAAAGAUUUAUCGCCAGAGGAUGAGCCCGCGUAGGAUUAGCUAGUUGGUGUGGUAAAGGCGCACCAAGGCGACGAUCCUUAGCUGGUCUGAGAGGAUGAUCAGCCACACUGGGACUGAGACACGGCCCAGACUCCUACGGGAGGCAGCAGUGGGGAAUAUUGGACAAUGGGCGAAAGCCUGAUCCAGCAAUGCCGCGUGAGUGAUGAAGGCCUUAGGGUUGUAAAGCUCUUUUACCCGGGAUGAUAAUGACAGUACCGGGAGAAUAAGCUCCGGCUAACUCCGUGCCAGCCGCCGCAGUAAGAC
rnacentral:rRNA from 1 species